rnacentral:rRNA from 1 species
AGAGUUUGAUCAUGGCUCAGGAUGAACGCUAGCGACAGGCCUAACACAUGCAAGUCGAGGGGCAGCAUUGAUUGCUUGCAAUCAGAUGGCGACCGGCGCACGGGUGCGUAACGCGUAUGCAACCUACCUCAUACAUUGGGAUAGCCCUAAGAAAUUGGGAUUAACACCAAAUAUUACAAUAAAGCCACAUGGUUUAAUUGUUAAAACUCCGGUGGUAUGAGAUGGGCAUGCGUGACAUUAGAUAGUUGGUGAGGUAACGGCUCACCAAGUCUACGAUGUCUAGGGGUUCUGAGAGGAAGGUCCCCCACACUGGUACUGAGACACGGACCAGACUCCUACGGGAGGCAGCAGUGAGGAAUAUUGGGCAAUGGAGGCAACUCUGAUCCAGCAAUGCCGCGUGUGUGAAGAAGGCCUGCGGGUUGUAAAGCACUUUCAGUAGAGAAGAAAAGCUCAGGGAUAAUACCCCUGAGUCUUGACGUAACCUACAGAAGAAGCUCCGGCUAACUCCGUGCCAGCAGCCGCGGUAAUAC